rnacentral:misc_RNA from 1 species
UUUGGGGUCAAUGUGUAUGGUGGUAAGUUAUAACAGCAUCAAUACAUAGUAAUCUCUCUUCACUAUAAACUAUCAUUAAUGUAUAUACUUUAGGAUUUGGUGGUGUCUUUGGUAUAGCAAGAUGAACUUGAUUUGUCCUCUUAGUAUGUGAUUUGAAGAUGUUUAAACUUUGUUUAAGGUUUAUAGGAAACUAUCGUUGGAAUUCUAUGAAAAAUGACAAAGCACUAUAUAUUCAUCGGUUUCUAAUUGGUAGAAAUGCCUGAUUUGAUUUGUUUUUAAAGCCAUGAGAUAGUACGUUAUCUCAAGUAGGGAGGCCAAAAGGCUUGUGCUAGGUGCAAAUUAAGGUGAUCAACUCUUUUUUGAAAUUUUUAUUCAACAAAAUAUGAUAAUUAUCAUGUGUAGCAUUGAUUUUUGAGUGCAGCAGCAGCUUUGGUAAAAGGAAAUUUAAUAAGAGUAUGGAUUUAUAAGGAUGAUAUAUGCAAGAAACAUAAUUUUGAGGCAACAUAUGUUUUCUUACUUGGGCAAUUUAAAGAACCCUCUUGAUAUACAUUUUUGUUGGAGAUAUAACCUAUUCCAUUUAAAAAUAGACUAAAGUUGUUUUAUUUGACAUCUCUGUUAGAGGUUGGUCAAUGGAACAAUAACACAGAGACUCAAAUUUAAGUGAAUUUAGAAAUUAUAACCUAUAUAAUGCAUGUUGACAA